rnacentral:rRNA from 1 species
GUAUCAUGGCUCAGGACGAACGCUGGCGGCGUGCUUAACACAUGCAAGUCGAACGAAGAGCGAUGGAAGCUUGCUUCUAUCAAUCUUAGUGGCGAACGGGUGAGUAACGCGUAAUCAACCUGCCCUUCAGAGGGGGACAACAGUUGAAACGACUGCUAAUACCGCAUACGAUCCAAUCUCGGCAUCGAGACUGGAUGAAAGGUGGCCUCUAUUUAUAAGCUAUCACUGAAGG